AUUGAACGCUGGCGGCAGGCCUAACACAUGCAAGUCGAACGAGUGGCGGACGGGUGAGUAAUGUCUGGGAAACUGCCUGAUGGAGGGGGAUAACUACUGGAAACGGUAGCUAAUACCGCAUACCAUCAGAUGUGCCCAAAUGGGAUUAGCUUGUUGGUGGGGUAACGGCUCACCAAGGCGACGAUCCCUAGCUGGUCUGAGAGGAUGACCAGCCAAACUGGGACUGAGACACGGGCCAGAAUCCUACGGGAGGCAGGAGUGGGGAAUAAUGCACAAAGGGGGGAAGCCUUGUGCAGCCAUGCCGGGUGUAUGAAGGAGGCCUUCGGGUUGUAAAAUACUUUCAGGGGGGAGGCGUUACCCGGAAAAGAAGCACCGGCUAACUCCGUGCCAGCAGCCGCGGUAAUUC
rnacentral:rRNA from 1 species